ACCCAAGUAGCUCAGUUGGGAGAGCGAGACCAAAUAGUCCGUCGCAUGCAAAAAAAAAUCCAGGGUCUUCAAAAGCUGGUUGAAAGACGCAGGUUCGAGUCCUGCCUUGGGUGCCA
rnacentral:tRNA from 1 species